AGUGAAAUGCUGAAUACAACAGGUGUAGUAGACCUUACAGUGAAAUGCUGAAUACAACAGGUGUAGUAGACCUCACAGUGAAAUGCUGAAUACAACAGGUGUAGACCUUACAGUGAAAUGCUGAAUACAACAGGUGUAGACCUUACAGUGAAAUGCUGAAUACAACAGGUGUAGUAGACCUCACAGUGAAAUGCUGAAUACAACAGGUGUAGUAGACCUUACAGUGAAAUGCUGAAUACAACAGGUGUAGUAGACCUCACAGUGAAAUGCUGAAUACAACAGGUGUAGUAGACCUCACAGUGAAAUGCUGAAUACAACAGGUGUAGUAGACGUUACAGUGAAAUGCUGAAUACAACAGGUGUAGUAGACCUCACAGUGAAAUGCUGAAUACAACAGGUGUAGUAGACCUCACAGUGAAAUGCUGAAUACAACAGGUGUAGUAGACAUCACAGUGAAAUGCUGAAUACAACAGGUGUAGUAGACCUCACAGUGAAAUGCUGAAUACAACAGGUGUAGUAGACCUCACAGUGAAAUGCUGAAUACAACAGGUGUAGUAGACCUCACAGUGAAAUGCUGAAUACAACAGGUGUAGUAGACCUCACAGUGAAAUGCUUACUUACAAGCCCUUAACUUCUUUUUUUUUCUUAAAACAGCAUUGUUGGUUAAGUAAAAAAAUAAUUAAAGAGCAGCAGUAGCUAUUCAGGAGUCUCAUGGCUUGGGGGUAGAAGCUGUUAAGAAGUAUUUUGGACCUAGAUUUGGCGCUCCGGUACUGUUUGCCGUGCGGUAGCAGAGAGAACAUUCUAUGACUAGGAUGGCUGGAGUCUUUGACAAUUUUUAUACACCGCCUGGUAUAGGAGGUCCUGGAUGGCAGGAAGCUUUGCACCAGUGAUAUACUGGGCCGUACGCACUACCCUCUGUUUAGUCCCAGGCUCCUUCUUAGCUUAGUGAUGAGAUUUGAGGGCACUAUGGUGUUGAAUGCUGAGCUGUAGUCAAUGAAUAGCAUUCUCACAUAAGUGUUCCUAUUGUCCAGGUGUGAAAGGGCAGUGUGGAGUGCAAUAGAGACUGCAUCAUCUGUGGAUCUGUUGGGGGCAGUUUGCAAAUUGGAGUGGGUUUAGGGUUUCUGGGAUAAUGGUGUUGUGAGCCAUGACCAGCCUUUCAAAGCAUUUCAUGGCUACAGACGUGAGUGCUACGGGUCUGUAGUCAUUUAGACAGGUUACCUUAGUGUUCUUGGGCACAGGGACUAUGGUGGUCUGCAUUACAGACUCAAGUCAGAGACAGGUUGAAAAUGUCAGUGAAGACAUUUGCCAGUUGGUGUCACGACUCCUACCGAAGGUGGCUCCCCUUCCUGCUCGGGCGGCGCUCGGCGGUCGUCGUCACCGGCCUACUAGCUGCCACUGAUUUCC
rnacentral:lncRNA from 1 species